rnacentral:rRNA from 1 species
GGGCCCGCACAAGCAGUGGAGCAUGUGGUUUAAUUCGAUGCAACGCGAAGAACCUUACCAGGCCUUGACAUCCUCGGAACUUUCUAGAGAUAGAUUGGUGCCUUCGGGAACGCAGUGACAGGUGCUGCAUGGCUGUCGUCAGCUCGUGUUGUGAAAUGUUGGGUUAAGUCCCGUAACGAGCGCAACCCUUGUCCUUAUUUGCCAGCACGUAAUGGUGGGAACUCUAAGGAGACUGCCGGUGACAAACCGGAGGAAGGUGGGGACGACGUCAAGUCAUCAUGGCCCUUACGACCAGGGCUACACACGUGCUACAAUGGCUAAUACAAUGGGCAGCCAACCCGCGAGGGGAGCC